CCUACGGGGGGCAGCAGUGGGAAUAUUGGACAAUGGGGGGAACCCUGAUCCAGCCAUGCCGCGUGUGUGAAGAAGGCCCUCGGGUUGUAAAGCACUUUCAGUGAGGAAGAACGCCUGGUGGUUAAUACCCAUCAGGAAAGACAUCACUCACAGAAGAAGCACCGGCUAACUCCGUGCCAGCAGCCGCGGUAAUACGGAGGGUGCGAGCGUUAAUCGGAAUUACUGGGCGUAAAGCGCGCGUAGGUGGCUUGAUAAGCCGGUUGUGAAAGCCCCGGGCUCAACCUGGGAACGGCAUCCGGAACUGUCAAGCUAGAGUGCAGGAGAGGAAGGUAGAAUUCCCGGUGUAGCGGUGAAAUGCGUAGAGAUCGGGAGGAAUACCAGUGGCGAAGGCGGCCUUCUGGACUGACACUGACACUGAGGUGCGAAAGCGUGGGUAGCAAACAGGAUUAGAUACCCCAGUAGUC
rnacentral:rRNA from 1 species